rnacentral:rRNA from 1 species
UUAAGGUAAGCUCUGCUCCAUGAUCUUUGGAUUAAAUAGCCGUAGUAUCCUGACUAUGCAAAGGUAGCAAAAUAGUUUGUCUCUUUAUUGGAGGCGGGAAUAAAAGAGUCGACAAUGUUAAUUCUUUUUUCAGCUUAUCCGCAGAAAUUUAUAUUUAUGUGAAAAAGCAUAACUUUUUAGAAAGACGAUAAGACCCUGUAAAACUUCACUUUUACCUAAACUCUAAAACUUAGGACUUUUUUUUAGCUAAAAGUUGAACUGGGGCGGUAAUUAAAUAAACAUUAAGAGAGGUAACAUUUUUAAAUGAAAUUUUAGGUCUUUGCAAAAAAAUAUAGAAAAGUUACUUCAGGGAUAACAGCAUAAUUUUUUCGUAUAGAUCUUAUAGAUGAAAAAGAGUUAUGACCUCGAUGUUGAAUUGAGGGGCCUUGUUUAAGCAGAAAUAAACAAAGGGAUACUGUUCGCCUCUUAAACCCUC